GAUGAACGCUGGCGGCGUGCCUAAUACAUGCAAGUCGAGCGAACAGACGAGGAGCUUGCUCCUCUGACGUUAGCGGCGGACGGGUGAGCAACACGUGGAUAACCUACCUAUAAGACUGGGAUAACUUCGGGAAACCGGAGCUAAUACCGGAUAAUUUAUUGAACCGCAUGGUUCAAUAGUGAAAGACGGUUUUGCUGUCACUUAUAGAUGGAUUCGCGCCGCAUUAGCUAGUUGGUAAGGUAACGGCUUACCAAGGCAACGAUGCGUAGCCGACCUGAGAGGGUGAUCGGCCACACUGGAACUGAGACACGGUCCAGACUCCUACGGGAGGCAGCAGUAGGGAAUCUUCCGCAAUGGGCGAAAGCCUGACGGAGCAACGCCGCGUGAGUGAUGAAGGUCUUCGGAUCGUAAAACUCUGUUAUUAGGGAAGAACAAAUGUGUAAGUAACUAUGCACGUCUUGACGGUACCCAAUCAGAAAGCCACGGCUAACUACGUG
rnacentral:rRNA from 1 species